AUUGAACGCUGGCGGCAGGCCUAACACAUGCAAGUCGAGCGGAUGAGGGGAGCUUGCUCCUGGAUUCAGCGGCGGACGGGUGAGUAAUGCCUAGGAAUCUGCCUGGUAGUGGGGGAUAACGUCCGGAAACGGGCGCUAAUACCUCAUACGUCCUGAGGGAGAAAGUGGGGGAUCUUCGGACCUCACGCUCUCAGAUGAGCCUAGGUCGGAUUAGCUAGUUGGUGGGGUAAAGGCCUACCAAGGCGACGAUCCGUAACUGGUCUGAGAGGAUGAUCAGUCACACUGGAACUGAGACACGGUCCAGACUCCUACGGGAGGCAGCAGUGGGGAAUAUUGGACAAUGGGCGAAAGCCUGAUCCAGCCAUGCCGCGUGUGUGAAGAAGGUCUUCGGAUUGUAAAGCACUUUAAGUUGGGAGGAAGGGCAGUAAGUUAAUACCUUGCUGUUUUGACGUUACCAACAGAAUAAGCACCGGCUAACUUCGUG
rnacentral:rRNA from 1 species